rnacentral:tRNA from 2 species
GCGCCAGUAGCUCAGCUGGAUAGAGCGUCGCCCUCCGGAGGCGAAGGUCAGGGGUUCGAAUCCUCUCUGGCGCGCCA